AUUGAAUGGCAGAAUUGUCUCCUUUCUCUCUACAGUGAUGAGGGACAGUACUGUCUGCUUUCUUGUAUUAGCCACAUGUGUUUUAAUUUUUGCUGGAUAUUAGCACAAGUAGGUUUAGUGGUACAGAAACUGAGAUUUUAUGGUUUAUCAUAACACGGCAACCCUCCUGUAAUCUAUUCCAGGCAGAUAAUUUCAGGACCAGAAGACUCUGCAGCCAAAGAUGUGAUAAUAUUAUGAUCCUCAAAAUCCAAGCUGCCUGUCAUAACAACAGCAACUUCUCAACUUCUGGGAAACACAAUGUGAAAAGGAAAAUCAUGAAGAAGCAAGUGUUUUAUGGGAUCAUUUUCUUCAUGUUGAAGAGUGCAAAAGGGCACACACAACUUGCAGAAGAGGUCGUUUUACUUUAUGGUCAAUGUCUACAAUCAGAUCCCAGGUCACUGAAUGGGUUUUAUUGAAGGUACACAGGAGACCUAAUAAAUACAAAUCAGAUCUAUUGCUAUGUGUUUUG
rnacentral:lncRNA from 1 species